AGAAUUUACUCAUUCACAGUGCUAAUCCCUUAAGGAAGAUUUUAUACUGUUUGUAUGUCUGAAACAGCGACCUGAACAAAAAGUCAUUGGAUGAGAGUUCUACCACGACAGUUACGGUGUUUGGCCAUCCUAUCACCAGAGUAGCCAUCACUUUCCAAACCAGCGAGAAGACGGACCAGCGCAUCAUCAGGACUACUGUCCACUGGAAAACAAGGAAAUCAGUCACCAACAAACAGCUAAUCAAUCUAAUAACAUCCAAACGAUCUAAUAACAGGUCAGUUAUCAGAAAACACAGCAGGUGCUGGCCCAUGCUAACACGAACACAGCUGGUGCAAAGGCUCAGGUGUUGACGAUGCAGCCCUCUCAUCAAGACGAGCUCCUUAGGCCAUCUGAACGAGGAGGAUGCAGUGACCUUAUUAAAAAGAAGAUUCUCAGGUUCCAUCUCACAUCGACUAAACGAGAAUUUCUGAGGUAGGACCCAGGGACUGGUGUUCUUGAAGAGUUGUCCAAGCUUACUUAGGUAUGAAGAGCACUAAAGAAAAUUUGGUCAUAAGUGUUCAAAAUAAAACUUAUUCAAAUCAAUGAUAGCUAGUUAAGUAU